rnacentral:rRNA from 1 species
UCGUACGCACUGGCCCAACUGAUUGAUGGUGCUCGUACCUGAUUGACGAUGGAUCACCAGUGAGUGGCGGACGGGUGAGUAACACGUAGGUAACCUGCCCCGGAGCGGGGGAUAACAUUUGGAAACAGAUGCUAAUACCGCAUAACAACAAAAGCCACAUGGCUUUUGUUUGAAAGAUGGCUUUGGCUAUCACUCUGGGAUGGACCUGCGGUGCAUUAGCUAGUUGGUAAGGUAACGGCUUACCAAGGCGAUGAUGCAUAGCCGAGUUGAGAGACUGAUCGGCCACAAUGGAACUGAGACACGGUCCAUACUCCUACGGGAGGCAGCAGUAGGGAAUCUUCCACAAUGGGCGCAAGCCUGAUGGAGCAACACCGCGUGAGUGAAGAAGGGUUUCGGCUCGUAAAGCUCUGUUGUUGGAGAAGAACGUGCGUGAGAGUAACUGUUCACGCAGUGACGGUAUCCAACCAGAAAGUCACGGCUAACUACGUGCCAGCAGCCGCGGUAAUACGUAGGUGGCAAGCGUUAUCCGGAUUUAUUGGGCGUAAAGCGAGCGCAGGCGGUUGCUUAGGUCUGAUGUGAAAGCCUUCGGCUUAACAGAAGAAGCGCCCCCCCCACCGGGCGACUUGAGUGCAGAAGAG